UUCAGCUCAAGCCCACUUCCUCCAGGAAGCUUCCCUUUUCCUGUACAGAACUUAUUGCACCAUUCUCUUGAUCAUUUCUUCCUUGAUGUUUUACACGGAGGCUGAAGAUCAGCUUUCUUCUGUCACUCUCUGUUCUCUCUACCCUCUCCAUUCUCUUUCCAAUUUAGACUCUUCAGUAUUCCAUCAUGUUCAUCAGUAAAUGGUGAAAGCACUGAUUAUACUUCCCAAGGACAGUGGGUGUUGCCACAACAUAGUGACAUCACAGAGGAUGCCAGGGCUCUCCAGGAUACAAUAGAAUGUCUAGGGAAGAGCUGCAGAUGUCAUGGGAACUGACAUUGCUUCCCUGCUAAUGAGCUUUCCUUACACUAGAAGUCAAGUUGACCUUUGCAGGAGCCUCUGCUGGGAUACAAGAGAAGCCCUUCAGCACCCCCUUCAUCCAAAGCCAGAGAUCCCUCCCUGAUUGAUUGAACAUCCUCCAGUUCUUUCUCUGUGUAGAACUGAAUCUUUAUCUCCUACUGAAAUUUUAUGUACACAAGAAGCAGUCUGUCACAUGAUCCAUUGAACUCCCAGCAGACCUGACAGCUCAGCCAUCCUGCUCUUCCUGUAUGAAAGGCAAAGUACCUCUACUCACCAUGGCAUUGCUGAUGGACUACCUCAUGGUUCCCUAUAUCUUAAUUAGAGGAGAACCCUUGAUAAAACUCAUAAUCUACCUCCCACUGGUGCUCCUGAUUGUUAGGCUUGCCCAAAGUUUCUCAAUAGCUUGUCUCCAACAGGGCCUCAGGACAGUAGCAGCUCCUCUACUAGGUAAGCAGAGAUCAAAUGACUAAGGCAGCACAGGCCUUCACAGCUCUGGAUUCCACCCUAGGGCCAGAUGGGGCUUUGGUCUGGGAAAUAUAUAUUUUAGUAGAAACUUU